rnacentral:ncRNA from 1 species
CACCUGGUUGAUCCUGCCAGUAGUCAUAUGCUUGUCUCAAAGAUUAAGCCAUGCAUGUCUAAGUAUAAGCUUUAAACGGCGAAACUGCGAAUGGCUCAUUAAAACAGUUAUAGUUUAUUUGGUGAUCGAUUACUAUUUGGAUAACCGUAGUAAUUCUAGAGCUAAUACAUGCGUCAAGGCCCGACUUCGGAAGGGCUGCGUUUAUUAGAUACAGAACCAACCUAGGCUCCGCCUAGUCCUUGUUGGUGAUUCAUAAUAACCCGGCGAUCGCACGGCUUGUCCGGCGAUGGACCAUUCAAGUUUCUGACUAUCAGCUAUGGACGGUAGGUAUUGGCCUACGUGGCGUUGACGGUACGGGGAUAGGGUCGAUCCGGGAGGGAGCUGAGAACGCUACACAUCU